rnacentral:rRNA from 1 species
GGUUAGUUUUACCCUACUGAUGAACUAGAUGCUGCGACAGUAAUCGAAGUCAGUACGAGAGGAACACUUCGUUCAGAUACUUGGUUAAUGUGGCUAGCUGAAAAGCUAAUACCACGAAGCUAUCAUCUGUUGGAUUACGACUGAACGCCUCUAAGUCGGAAUCCAUGCUGGCUAAGCAGUGUUGCCCACCGCUCUCAUUGCAACAUGCCAACAAAUAAGCUUUGGCUCUAACGCAUACCAGCCUCUAUCGCCGCUAAAGGCAAUGGGGUAAAUGAUAAUUUCAUGCAGUGGGAGCGAUAGAUCUUUUGUAGACGACUUAAUCGAAUCCAGGUAUUGUAAGUGCUGAGAGUAUUCUUUGUGAUACGAUCCACUGAGAUUCAUCCUGUGUUU